AGAAGCUUCCAGGAACUCCCGGGUCGGCGACCCAGCCCGAGCCGCCUGGGGCCCCAAGGGAAGCUGAACGCCCUGUGGGCUCCUGGGAUGGUUCUUCCCGUUCUUUGCGCCGCCUUCACCCAUUGAAGAGCCUGUGCCCACCCUGCCCAGUCGCUCUCGGGGCCGCGGAGGAGCUUCCGCUGCCAUCUUCGGAUCCUGUGUUCCGCACGGGGGCUCCACCAGGGCAGGGAUGGUGUACCCUGCAGGGCGGGAAACUGGCAGGGCCUCCGGCGCACCUUCUGCGCGGUGGAGCCGCGGGGCUCAGCUGGGCCGUGGUCCGGCCCUGGGGCCGUAGGGCGAGAGCAGCAGAAUGGGGAAAUGGAGAGAGAACCUGAAAGAGCCCCAAACUCGAGGACCUAUUGCUCCCCAAGAAUAACAUCUUCCAGAAGAACUAGACAGAAAACUAGGCGUCUGGGAACUCUGAAAUCCUUGGAGGAGUAGCAUCAUCAUGACCCUCUGUGUUCCUUUUGGCAAAGGACUUGCUCCCAUUGUUUGCUUGUUCCAUUGUCUGUCUGUUAAAUAAAUAAAACCCUUUUCAUAUAUCU
ensembl:lncRNA novel transcript